ACGCCCGAGCCAUCGGAGCUCCCCCACCACCCUCUCAUUGGGGUUGGGUUGGCUGGGUCUUUCUUUCUCCAUGUCACAUCUCACUGCAGCUCCGCCAUCAGAACCACCGUCGGCGGCGGUGAAUUCAUUGUACAAACAGAAAUCGUGGUCGCCGGACACGUUUCGCGAUGAGGCGUGGCAGCGGCGGAAGGGUACCCAUGGAAGCCGCUUAAAGCAGCGGAGCAAGAGCGUUACCGAUGAAGACCUCGAUGAGCUCAAGGCUUGUAUUGAGUUAGGGUUUGGAUUUGACUCGCCUGAAAUAGAUCAACGAUUGUCUGAUACUUUCCCGGCUUAUGGCCUUUUUUACGCUGUUAAUAAACAAUAUGCCGACACCCUUUCGAAGACUUCUUCUUUAUCGUCGGUCAUCUCCUAUUGCGAGUCACCCGCUCCUCCCGGCAGUCCCCACACCAUUGUCGAUCAAGGUAAUUCGAUAAAAGCCUCUCCUUUACAAUUUUUAUUCGUACUCUUUUAUUUUAGAAUGUUCUGAAAUGCUUAACACAAAUUCCAUUUCUUUUGAACUAUCCUUCACUCAGAAAAUCCAAAUUCAUUCAUCUAAUCAAAAUGAAAUUUGAUUUUAAAUUCUAAUAUGAAAUCCUCUAUGUGAAAUUAACUUUCAAUUAUAAUGUCUUUUACAAUCAGUAAAUACUACUCCUAUAUAAGUUAAGUUCUAUAUAUUUAACUUAUUGCCCUGUCAUAAAAAAAGAGAUUACCAGAUAAUUUAACCUUAAAAGUUUGUUAAUGUAAAGAACAGUUGAGUGCCUAUGGGAACUCUCCGCCCUUAACUAAAGGUCUUGAGUUUAAGCCCUAUGAAAGAAGAAACUCUUGAUAGAGAAUGCUUCCCUCAUAGUGGUUCUACGGGCGGCUAAUCUAGAUUAGUUGGACAAAUGAAUUUAGAUUACCGGAUGAAUAGAUGAAAAAAGAAAAAAAGGAUGCCUAUGUUUUAUCUUUUGUUCAAUGCACAAUUUAGUUUUGCCUACACCCCUUCCCCAUUUUUUUUGGGGGGGAUGAGUGGUGGUGGGGACAAGAUUCAUAUAAAGAACUAUAGUGUUGAACGUAUGGUUGCUAAUAUUUGCAAAAAAUGAAUGUAGGAGAUAAUCCUCAGACAGUGAAGACAAGGUUGCGGCAGUGGGCACAAGUGGUCGCUUGGUCAGUUCGUCAAUCUUCACAUUAAUGGAUGCUGGAUGUUGUAUGCUAGAUAUCUGUUAAAGAUGAUGAUUAUAAUUACUGUACCAGCAAUAUGUUUCGGGGCAUUGAAGCAAGAAGGAACAGAAGCUAAAAAGUCAAUAGUUAAUUUGAAAAAGUAACCCAGCGAUGAACCAACUUGUUCAAUCUUAGAGCUAAUUGUGUGUUGAUAUGAUUUUCAUUAAUAUAAUUGUGCUGCAACCAUAAAUGUAACUGGUCCACCACCAACAAACUCUUGUUGAUUAAUUGCUAGUAG
rnacentral:lncRNA from 1 species